UACGGAGGAUGCGAGCGUUAUCCGGAUUUAUUGGGUUUAAAGGGUGCGUAGGCGGAUCGUUAAGUCAGUGGUCAAAUUGAGGGGCUCAACCCCUUCCCGCCAUUGAAACUGGCGAUCUUGAGUGGAAGAGAAGUAUGCGGAAUGCGUGGUGUAGCGGUGAAAUGCAUAGAUAUCACGCAGAACCCCGAUUGCGAAGGCAGCAUGCCGGCUUCCUACUGACGCUGAAGCACGUAAGCGUGGGGAUCGAACAGG
rnacentral:rRNA from 1 species